GAGUUUGAUCGUGGCUCAGAUUGAACGCUGGCGGCAGGCCUAACACAUGCAAGUCGAGCGGAUGACGGGAGCUUGCUCCUUGAUUCAGCGGCGGACGGGUGAGUAAUGCCUAGGAAUCUGCCUGGUAGUGGGGGACAACGUUUCGAAAGGAACGCUAAUACCGCAUACGUCCUACGGGAGAAAGCAGGGGACCUUCGGGCCUUGCGCUAUCAGAUGAGCCUAGGUCGGAUUAGCUAGUUGGUGGGGUAAUGGCUCACCAAGGCGACGAUCCGUAACUGGUCUGAGAGGAUGAUCAGUCACACUGGAACUGAGACACGGUCCAGACUCCUACGGGAGGCAGCAGUGGGGAAUAUUGGACAAUGGGCGAAAGCCUGAUCCAGCCAUGCCGCGUGUGUGAAGAAGGUCUUCGGAUUGUAAAGCACUUUAAGUUGGGAGGAAGGGCAGUAAGUUAAUACCUUGCUGUUUUGACGUUACCGACAGAAUAAGCACCGGCUAACUCUGUGCCAGCAGCCG
rnacentral:rRNA from 12 species